UCUGGGAUUAGGAUACCCCACUAUGCCUAAUCGUAAACUUUUAAUUACAUCCGAAACGCCAGGGAACUACGAGUAAAACUUAAAACCCAAAGGACUUGACGGUACCCCAUAUCCCCCUAGAGGAGCCUGUCCUAUAAUCGAUAACCCCCGUUAAACCUCACCAUUUUUAGUUAAAUCAGCCUGUAUACCUCCGUCGUCAGCUUACCACGUGAGCGAAUAUUAGUAAGCUUAAUGCCCUUUUACGCCAAUACGUCAGGUCAAGGUGCAGCAAACAAAUUGGAAAGAGAUGGGCUACACUUUUUAUUUUAAAAGAAACGAAAGACUAUUUAUGAAAUCUAGUCAGAAGGCGGAUUUAGCAGUAAAAAGAGUUAAGAGAGUUCUUUUUAAUUUGGCACUGGGGUGUGUACACACCGCCCGUCACCCUCCUCA
rnacentral:rRNA from 1 species